rnacentral:misc_RNA from 1 species
GCGCAAAAUUGCUCAUCUCUGCUUAUCAAACGAGCACUGAGCCGCUCAAUUACAGUCUUACAGAAGCAAACGAAGACCUGACCUCCUGCCCACAAUGUUCAGCAUCGAUGGGGACCCAUGGCUGGCUCCGGAUAAGCUCUACCACGUCCUCUUUUGUCUCUUCCUAACCGUCUUCUUCUCCAAACUAGCAUCCCUCGCACGUUACUCCUUUCUCCGUCGCUAUUCGGUUCCUGUAGGUUCUAUCCUCUCCCUUGCCGCCGGCGCUGCGAAGGAAGCGGCUGAUCAAUUUGGCUUUUUCCCUUCUGCCGGUGCAUCGGCCAAG